rnacentral:rRNA from 1 species
UGGGGAAUAUUGGACAAUGGGCGCAAGCCUGAUCCAGCCAUGCCGCGUGAGUGAUGAAGGCUCUAGGGUCGUAAAGCUCUUUCACCGGUGAAGAUAAUGACGGUAACCGGAGAAGAAGCCCCGGCUAACUUCGUGCCAGCAGCCGCGGUAAUACGAAGGGGGCUAGCGUUGUUCGGAGUUACUGGGCGUAAAGCGCACGUAGGCGGACUUUUAAGUCAGGGGUGAAAUCCCGGGGCUCAACCCCGGAACUGCCUUUGAUACUGGAAGUCUUGAGUAUGGUAGCGGUGAGUGGAAUUCCGAGUGUAGAGGUGAAAUUCGUAGAUAUUCGGAGGAAGACCAGUUGCGAAGGCGGCUCACUGAACCAUUACUGACGCUGAGGUGCGAAAGCGUGGGGAGCAAACAGG